rnacentral:rRNA from 1 species
UACAGAGGGGGCAAGCGUUGUUCGGAAUUACUGGGCGUAAAGGGCGCGUAGGCGGCCUUCUAAGUCGAACGUGAAAUCCCCGGGCUCAACCUGGGAACUGCAUCCGAUACUGGAUGGCUUGAAUCCGGGAGAGGGAUGCAGAAUUCCAGGUGUAGCGGUGAAAUGCGUAGAUAUCUGGAGGAAUACCGGUGGCGAAGGCGGCAUCCUGGAACGGCAUUGACGCUGAGUGAGCGAAAGCCAGGGGAGCAAGCGGG